GCCAAUGAUGUUAUUUUGUUGUUGUGACUGGCUUUGCCAGUUUGACGACAUUACAACUACCACCCUUGACUGAUGGCU
rnacentral:snoRNA from 1 species